GAGGUUUCUCAUGGCUGGGGUUGAGACAAACUGGGAGAUAGGUUUAGAGCAAUGCUUAGCCCCUAAAACAGGGGAAAAAAUAUUUCUAAGUCUAAAACAGUAUUUUUAUUCUUUUAGCUUUUACAAAUAUCACUAACAUUUCAAUAAAGACAAAGAAUUUUGACACAUUUACUUACAUGCAUACAAAAUUAUGUACAAUAAAUAAGAAUCAGUUAAAGCUGAUUUGCUAAAAAAAUGUCAACCAAUGUAUGCCCCUCAACUUCUGUUUAAUAUUAGGAGAAGCAGAGUUUAACUUUCUAACCCAAACAAGACAAGACUUUCUGUAUUUAGGUUUUAAAAAAAAACACUUGAGAAUAAAGAUGUGGAGUUCUUUAAGUAAAAUAAGAAAUUGUUUUUAAAAUGUGAAUUAUACAUCCUACAUCUUAAAAAUAGCCUCUGUCUUUUCCACUGGAUAAAAUAAAUUAUUAGGCUGGUUAAUACAGACAUUUUGUUUGACGUAUGAGGUCAGAUAUUUGGCUCUGCUUCUGACUAUUUUGCCUUUUCAGGCUGUGAAAGAAAGUCAAAAAGCUGCCCUAAAAGAGGCUGUUAGAAAGUUAUCUUGGCAUAGAAGAAUCUCAGAAGAAAAGAAUAUAGACAGAUCUACUCCACCAGUUCUUGCUCCCAGUGUAAAACGUGUCAUAAGGGCAGGGCUAGGGAACACAGCAUUCCAGUGAACCUUGUGGCAUAAUGGCACUGAGGCUGUUCAAAUUUGUGCUCACAGUUGGCUCAGCUCCUAGCUAGCCCUGAGGUUCAGGGAAGACAACAGAUGCCUUAGAGACAUCUGCCUCCCCAUUGCUUCAGUUGUGCAAAGCUCUGCUCCAGUGCAAUGAGGUUUGGAGUCCAUAGUGACUCUUGGAUAAAUAAAUACUGUGGAAGCUGGGUUUAUUUAUUUAUCUAUAGAUACUGUUGUAGAUAUUAUAUGUUAUACAAAUUGUGCAUAAACCUGCAUUAGCACAAAUUGUUUAGGGAUUUGUAACCUUUAAGCCAAUUGGAAUGCAAGUUGUGAUCCAAAGAUUUUAUUUAUAAACAGUGGGCCUGAUCGCAUUUCAGUGAAAUCAGUGGCAAAAUUUCCUGAUCCAAAUUUGCCCUAACACCCCAUAGAGUCCUGCUAACAUCAAUAUGGUUGCAUAUGAGUAAGGGCAGGAUUGGCUCUCUCUUGACUUCAAUGGUGGCACAAAAUCAAGCCCAGAAUCGAUAUAUAUUUAUUAUUUCAACAGAAUUCCUGCCUGAAUACUCAGAUGUAUUCUCAUUAUCUUCAACCACAUAAACAAUAUGUUUGGAUGUAUUUUAUUUAUUCAAAUGUUUUCAAAGUUAUCCAAACACUUUGAGGCUUUAUUCUCACUUUCUGCCAGUAAUAUUUUUAACCAAAGAUGUCACUCAAUCAGCAUGGCUUCCCUGCGACUCCACAAACUUCAGUAUGUCUUUUUGUUGCUAGAUGUUAUUUUGUAACUGUAUGCUUUUCACCAGCCACCCUCUUUUUUUUUAUUAUUGUUAUUCUUCCAUUUCCUCUAAUAUCAUCCUGAUAUCUAUCUAUCUCAGUAGCACUUCCUGAAGGGUUUGAGACAUUUUUUAUUUUGUCAUAUUAUGAAAUGAAAAUGUCCCUGAACUCAUUCUGUUUAAUAAAAAGAAAUAAUCAAAGGAAAAGCGAAGCUCUAACAAGUUGCAACAUCAAUAUUAUUUAAUCAUGGAGCAGAGAUGUUGAGUCAGAGGCUAUGUCUUAGCCCAGUUCCUACAUGCAAAAGCAAAUACAGGCCAUAGGUGUCACACAAAGGGUGGAGACAACAGUGUAGAGCUGUCAUCAUGGGUAUCAGAGGCAUUAUCUCCAUAGUGCAAUGAAGAUUCUGGGCUGUGACACAGCCGCUAGACAAGCUGUCAGGAGGCUGCUGUAAAUUAGAGUAGCUCUUGGCAGCUCUAAUUUGGUUUGGGGACCUUAGAUGAAAACUUAACUUUACCCCAACUUCUCUUUAAUUAUAGUUUUCUAGGUCAAAGUAUGCAUGCUGUAUGUGUCAAAAUAUUGCAGUUUGGGGAAGGGUACCAUUUGAAAGCUUUUACUAAGGAAGGUUUCAGAGUAGCAGCUGUGUUAGUCUGUAUCUGCAAAAAGAACAAGAGUACUUGUAGCACCUUCUGUUCUUUUUACUAAGGAAGUUCUCCAGUUAUUCUACAGAAAUCUUGAGUCCUGACCAACCUCUUACUGAAGUUGAUGGGUGUCUUACUACUGACUUUAAGGUGAUUUAGACUGGACUGUUGAAAGGGUAGAAACUGGGAAUGUUAUCAAUGGUGAUGAAAGUGUUGACAUCAAAAUUAAGAUUCUGGCAGAAAUUCCAUAUCGUGCCUAAAGUACAGUACAUCUCUGAGGAACAUUAUGAAACUCCAAGGGCCAUUAAACUCAGAUCCAUUAAAUCUGCUUUUGUACUUUUUCAGUGACACAAAGCACACUUAAGGCCAUCUGAUCUGGGUCUUUGAGUACUAUCUCAACAUGCAAUCUCCUGCAAUCCUCCAGUGGCAUGAGGCCACCAUGCUGUGUAAAGCCCUUUCACUCACCAACACAGUGCAUGUGCCUAUGAGAAAGGGAACAUAGCUGGGGCUUCCCUAUAUCCUGGCAAACCCUGGCAGUCAGGCCCUUGGAGCUGUUGGAAGUCAUUGUGAGACAGAGUUGUCUGAAUGCCUAAGGUUGGCCAACAUUUAAUGGCCUUAGGGUCAGGGAGUCACAGAGGUGACUUAAAGCAAUUUUUGCUCCCUUUUAAACACACUGGACUUGUGCCAAGUGCCACUCAGCUGCUCCAGAGAAUCUGAGCCCAAAGGCUUAACUAUCCCAUGACACAGGUGUCCCAGAAAGACCUCUAUCUGUUUAUGACAGUAUGAGGUCAAUUGACCAAUGGUAUAUGAAGUAUAAUUUAAUUUACAGACUAAAUGCCAAUUUACUGAUGUGGGUAAAUCAGAAAACUGAGCUACUACCAUGAACCCAAUCCUGAAAAGGAUCAGCAAGGAUAUCAGGGAUCUGCCUGCAUGGAUUGUUCUGCACACAGCACACCACAAUUCAAACUGUGCAAAUGUUAGUGUAAUAUCUACAAGAGAGAACUUCCUAAAGUGGCAUUUAAUUGGCUUAAGUUUCAAAAUAUGGAAACUAGGCAUUUGUAGGGAAGACAUAAAGGGUAUGUCUACACUAUAAUAAAACACCUGUGGCUGGCCCAUGUCAGCUAACUUGGGCUUGCAGGGCUCAGGCUACAGGGUUAUAAAAUUGCAGGGUAGACAUUUGGGCUUGAGCUGGAGCCCGGACUCUGGGACCCCAGAAGAGGGGAAUGCAAAAACUGGAUAACAAUGGUGAUAGCAAUAUUAACUCAGCUAGGGAUAACUUGGGCAAGGUGCUGAGCACUCUGGCCCAUAUCUAUUAAAACAUUUAAGAAGGUGCUUAACUUUUAGCACAUGCAAAGUCCCACUGGAGUCAGUGGCACUAUGCACUUGCUUAAAGUUUAGCCUGUGGUUAAUUGCUGUGCUGGGGCCUUAGAUUUUUUGUGGACUGUUACUUUUAUGUGAGGAGAGGUAUUAUAGCUCCUUUUUGACCCAUCAGAUCUUAUUAAACUGCCUGCUUUUACUUCUUCAUUUAUCAGAUUUUUCUCAUUAAACCUCAGCUGUGAAGAAGCUUUCAUAGGUGUCCUAGAUUUCGCUCUGCUUUUGUCUUUUAUCUCCUUUUCCACCCAAAUACAUUUACAUACUGUAGCUUGGAGCCUGCAAAGAUGUUGUUUUAACACAUACCACUUAGUAUCUAAAUCUAAUCUCAGCCAUGUUAUCCAUUAGUGAAUGGAAAAUUGUUUUAUAUUUCUUAUUAUUUAAGUAACAGUGUAAUAUUUUUCUGGUUGAUUUUUAAAAGAUUUUAUUUCCUUAGCUUCUUAUAAGCAGAACCAGUAUUUUAAUUAUGAUCAGCUCUAUUUAUUAAUGUAUAGGCAUCUGAUUCUCUAAUCUUAAUAUAACUAAUAGAAUUAAGGAGCAUUUUUUUAAAGAAAACUUAUUUUCUACAUGUUACAGUUUAUGCCAUACUUCCAUAUUUGGCAGGAAGAUUAAAAUUAAUAUUGUUUAACUUUUGUCUGGUUUUGAGAUGGCUGAUAUACUAUUGCAAUCUUGUGUUAAUGAAAAUGUUACACACCUCAUUAAAAAAAAAUACUGACUGUAUAUUCACUGCAUUCAGAAAACUUUUAUAGUCAUUCUUAAUACAGGCCAGUGCUGGAAUAGACAAAUUGAACUGUCUAUUUUUAUUAAAAUAUGUAUGCAUACUGCAUGCAUUAAAUGUGACAGUUGAGCAUCGUACAGUGUGCAUUACAGCCACUCUAUAUGCAGUACUUGAUAUAAGUGGUGGUGUUAUACGAGAGAGAAAAAAGGUAGAGAACUAUGUUACUUGACUGGAAAUGCCCAAUAAACUUCUAUCCCCAAACUUCUAGAGUAGUAUACAGUCUGAGGCAUUUGUGGGGUCUCAAUACAGCUGUUUUUACUUAUUGUAAAUGCAUCUGGCAGACUGUUGCAAAUAACUUACAUUUCCAUAUGAUCUUGAUUCUCUCUUGCAUUUUGUCACUAGCAACUACAAAACACGUCUGAACCAACAAAUUCUGUUCACUGGUCAAAGUAACAGUGAGACCUGUUAUAAAUGCUAAAUUAGGCUUAGUAUCCAGUAAGGACUUCUGUUUUACCAAGAAACUGAAGCAAUUGAGUCUAAGAAGCUAGGAAGAGAAGAAGAUAGACAAUAGAGGAAAACACUAGUGUUAAGGGUCCUUUUGCAUUUGACACUGACGCUGUAUUAAUUAAAAAGAAAAUAUUCUCGUAACACCAUAAAUUGCUGGGUCAUAGGGGACAUCAGUCUAGUUUACUAAAGUAGAUAUUAAGACUUGUACAAAUAGAGAGCCUAUUUUAGAUAAUGCUUAAAUGUAUGACACCCUUGUACUAUGGCUUGCACUUUACUUGCAUAUAAACUGUGAAGUAGGCGGUAGUAAUAAUGUCUUUGUAUAUUCAGGGGUUGAAAUACCAAAGCAUUAGAGUAUUACGCUGCUGGUGUUCAACCUGUACUGUUAAUCAAAUCUGAACAAGCUCACGAACUGUAUUUUGAAAAUUCUGCUAACCUAAGAUCAUUAGCAAAUAAUGCUAUGGAGUCUCCAUGGUCUUUCUUUUGUAAAUAUGAACAUUCUUACUAUUUCUGUAGCAAUAGGAGGUUAUAAACCAAACUUUCACUAGGACUGUUUUCAACAACAAAAAAUUCUAUAGCGCCUUGUAUAAAAAUCAUGGAGACUCCAUGAUUUGUGGGCAUUUUUGUUUACAGACAAUAUGUAUAUAUGUAUUAGAGGCAGAACUGUUAUUUAUCACAAAGCUAUGUUGUGGUUAUUUCUAAAAGAAAAUGUAUGUUUUCUGUCAUAAAGAGAAAAAAGGUAUUUUAAUAGGAGCCAUCCUGAAAAGAAGUUUGAAGAUUCAAAGCUUCACAUACCAGUAUGUCCACAUUACAGGUGUUUCAGCCCCACCUGCUGUAUGUUUUCCUAAUUAGCUCUGAAAUAAAACUGAGAGGUGAUGACAAAAUAUCUAUCUGAGCCAGGGAAGAAUCCUGGAUUGUAUUCCAAUUUAUACAUGGUUGGAUAUUUUGAGACUGCAAUAUAAUAAUUACCAUCAUAUUUAUAUCUGAAGGUCCCUUUUUUGAGUAGGCACCAUUUAGAUUCUGUAGUAAAUAAAGUCCUUCAGCUCACUGAUGCUACAGAGAUAGAAAAUGAAUUACUUUGGACUCAUACAGGCAAAAAUAAAUUUUAACCCCAGGAUAAUACAGUACUUCUUCAGUUUCCCAACAGUAUACUUUAUUUUAUACUUGACCUAUGUUGGGAGGUGAUCCACUAAUUUAUAUAGCCUAUGAAUGUUAGUUUAUUUUUAUUUUCUCUUUUCAGAUUAGUUCUGUGUGAAUUAUUGUAAUUGGCUGCAUUUUUUCUAUCACAGGUUAUCUUUUUGUGUGUCUACAACGAGAAUUUAUGAAUGGAAAAUUUCACUGUGUGUUGCUCACUGGGCAUAUACCUCAUGGUACAUUGCACAGACAUGUAAGUUGUAAGUUGCACUGCAACAUUAAAAAAGGAACAUAUUGCUCUUUUUUCAAAGAUAUUAACUUAUUUAAAAGAUAUAGUCUGUACAUUAUGAAAAGGACAUUUAUUCCUCCUAAAUUCAAAAGUAGCUUUUGUUUUGGGGGAAAUAAGUUGUAAACUUCAGUUGUAAAUUUGGACUUCAAUAAACUGAAAUCUCUGCACUUAA